rnacentral:misc_RNA from 1 species
UAUCCGUAGGUGAACCUGCGGAUGGAUCAUUGAAAUGAAGUCCUAAAACAACUUCGACCCUUUCUGUGAAACUGUUUUCCAAACCCUCUAACGGGGGACCACACUUCGACUGCUCUUCCGCUCGCAGCGGAGGAUGGGCGGCGGCAGAGGCGCGAGCCUCGGCCAAGUCCUGUCCUCUGCAGCGACAGAGCAUGUCCGGUGUGACUCUCCCUUUCCUUUUCCCCAAUCACAUACAACUCUCCUGUACUCUUCUUUGAUGAACCGAAUCUCAGUGCAGCAGUCCUCUCCGCGAGGAACAGGAACUGUUCCCUGAGUCCAACAUAUCGUUUUAAUGAUUUGUAAAUGCACAACUCUUAGCAACGGAUAUCUUGGCUCCU